GUGGGGAAUAUUGGACAAUGGGCGAAAGCCUGAUCCAGCCAUGCCGCGUGUGUGAAGAAGGUCUUCGGAUUGUAAAGCACUUUAAGUUGGGAGGAAGGGCAGUAAGUUAAUACCUUGCUGUUUUGACGUUACCGACAGAAUAAGCACCGGCUAACUUCGUGCCAGCAGCCGCGGUAAUACGAAGGGUGCAAGCGUUAAUCGGAAUUACUGGGCGUAAAGCGCGCGUAGGUGGUUUUGUAAGUUGGAGGUGAAAUCCACGGGCUCAACCUGGGAACUGCCUCCAAAACUGCAUGACUAGAGUACGGUAGAGGGUAGUGGAAUUUCCUGUGUAGCGGUGAAAUGCGUAGAUAUAGGAAGGAACACCAGUGGCGAAGGCGACUACCUGGACUGAUACUGUCACUGAGGUGCGAAAGCGUGGGGAGCAAACAGGAUUAGAUACCCGUGUAGUCC
rnacentral:rRNA from 1 species